GUCAAAAUAAAUCAAAUCAUCCUGAGGAUAUAACGAGCAAUUUGGUAAAAUAAAUUUGUCGGUUUCUUAUACAGUUGCGAAUAUUAAGCGAUCACAAGAAAAACAGUGUUUGGGGAGAUAACUCUUACAUUGAAAAGAUUUUGGUUACGCGGUGUCAGUUACAAAAGCGUAAUAACUGUUCGAUAUCAUAUACCAUAUGUCUAAGCAACAUCUUGCAAAACAAAAAAAUUGCGAAGGAACAAAAAGUUGG
rnacentral:lncRNA from 1 species